AACGAACGCUGGCGGCAUGCCUAACACAUGCAAGUCGAACGAGACCUUCGGGUCUAGUGGCGCACGGGUGCGUACGCGUGGGAACCUGCCCUUAGGUUCGGAAUAACUCCCCGAAAGGGGUGCUCAUACCGGAUAAUGUCUUCGGACCAAAGAUUUAUCGCCUUUGGAUGGGCCCGCGUUGGAUUAGCUAGUUUGUAGGGUAAAAGCCUACCAAGGCGACGAUCCAUAGCUGGUCUGAGAGGAUGAUCAGCCACACUGGGACUGAGACACGGCCCAGACUCCUACGGGAGGAAGCAGUGGGGAAUAUGGGACAAGGGGAGAAAGCCUGAACCAGAAAUGCCGCGUGAGUGAUAAAGGCAUUAGGGUUGUAAAGCUCUUUUAACAGGGAUGAUAAUGACAGUACCGGGAGAAUAAGCGCCGGAUAACUCCGUG
rnacentral:rRNA from 1 species